AGUGAACGCUGGCGGUAGGCCUAACACAUGCAAGUCGAACGGCAGCACAGUAAGAGCUUGCUCUUACGGGUGGCGAGUGGCGGACGGGUGAGGCAUACAUCGGAAUCUACUUUUUCGUGGGGGAUAACGUAGGGAAACUUACGCUAAUACCGCAUACGACCUACGGGUGAAAGCAGUGGAUCUUCGGACCUUGCGCGAUUGAAUGAGCCGAUGUCGGAUUAGCUAGUUGGCGGGGUAAAGGCCCACCAAGGCGACGAUCCGUAGCUGGUCUGAGAGGAUGAUCAGCCACACUGGAACUGAGACACGGUCCAGACUCCUACGGGAGGCAGCAGUGGGGAAUAUUGGACAAUGGGCGCAAGCCUGAUCCAGCCAUACCGCGUGGGUGAAGAAGGCCUUCGGGUUGUAAAGCCCUUUUGUUGGGAAAGAAAAGCAGCAUGUUAAUACCCCGCUGUUCUGACGGUACCCAAAGAAUAAGCACCGGCUAACUUCGUG
rnacentral:rRNA from 1 species